GCCGGGGGAGAAGAAAUGAAGAGCGAAGGGACAAGGAAACUUCAUUUCCCAAGAUCCACCUCUGCCUCGAAAAGGUCCGGGAUUCCGCCCGGGACGACUCCGAGUAGGACCUGGUCUCACCUGGAGAAUUUCGAAGCUCUUAAUCAGCGCUCCAGGUUGGGAUUCCCAAGCCGUGAACGAGCGGGGGCCCGGCCGGCUGGCCGGCCGGCCUACUUAAAGGAGCCGCUGCCUGCGUCACCCACUCUGGUCUUUCGCGUUCUCUCCUGCGGACGGGCUGGCCGCGUCCGUCGAGGGUUCCCGGUUCUGCCUUUUGGAUUUUUCCUGAGCAUGAGUCUUUGGGCUCGAGUAGGCAUCUUGGGCACCCUGGCUUACUGCGUGCACAGCAAGGGGCGAGCCCUGGCCGAACCCGUGAGGAGCAGAGCGCCGGGCGGCGGCGGCGACAGCAGCAGCAAUGACCCGCUGGAACUGAAACUGGUGCUAGUGCUGUUUCGGCACGGAGCCCGUACUCCUCUCCGACCCAUCCCCGACGUAGAGCAGGUGGAGUGGAAUCGGGCUCUUCUGGAGAUCCCUGCUCAGACGGAAUUUGACUACACAGUAACUGAUCUUUCUGGCGGGCCAAGACCUUAUUCUCCUUACGAAGAAAACUACAAAAAAAUUACACUGAAGGGUGGUGCAUUUGCAGGGCAGCUGACAAAAGUAGGCAUGCAGCAAAUGUUUGCGCUGGGGAAAAGGCUGCGGAGACGAUACAUUGAGGAACUCAAUUUCCUGUCACCGGCAUUCAAGCCUUCCGAGGUCUUUGUUCGUUCCACUAAUAUUGUUCGGAAUCUGGAGUCAACACGGUGCUUGCUAGCUGGGCUGUUCCAACAGCAGAAAGAAGGACCUAUUACCAUAGUUACAGAUGAAGCAGAAUCCGAAAUCCUUUAUCCCAAUACACUGAACUGCCAACGGCUGAAACAUAUGAACAGAGCUAGGUUGGCCACUAUGCAAUUGCAACCAGGCAUCUCUGAAGACCUGAAGACCAUUAAGAAGAGCAUGGGCAUUGGCACUGAGAAGGGAGUGGAUUUCCUACUCCUCUUUGACAACAUCUUUGCUGAGCAGGCACAUGAUCUUCCAAGUUGCCCUGUUCUGAAGAAUUUCCUGCAAAUGCUUGAGCAGAGGGCUGUGGACUCGCUCCUUUACGUUAUAGAACACAAUUUAAGGGAGACACUUCAGAUGUCUGUCGGUCCACUUCUAAGUGCAAUAAAGAAGAACAUUAGGGAGGCAACAGAGCCGUCAUCUGCUGACAUCAAGGCCAGAAAUCCCAUACUAAGGAAUGCUUGGGAAAGCUGAGAGAUACUCAAGAUUUGCCUUGAAAUACUUAUACAUUGGACAAAGGCCACUUGCAAAUAACCCAAGUUAAACAUCAAUGUCUUGAACUUCGCUCACACAGGAAGUUUUGGAUGAACAAGUAGAAUGAGGUUCUUGCAUGCAAAAUCCAGAUAGGAGGAAGGAAGAACCCUCACUAAAGCUUUCCUGAUUUAGUUAAUACAAUCACCUCCACCUGCCAGAAGACAGUAGCAACAUAACUGGUAACCCCAUGCAAUGGAAAAGGAAGCUCAUUCUAUAUGCUGUUCACGAUGUUACCCUCUUUCCGUUACUGAUGGCUCUGGGUGUUUUUAAUUCCAAGUGGCCUCCAU